GUCAGACAGGCCCAUCCUAUAAAAGAUGUCACGCAGAUGUGGUGCACCUUUUUUGGCAUCAGGAAGUCGGCCUUCCCUGGGACAAAUGUUUGAAUCCUUUCUACCGGGAACAAAGUCAAUGGUGGGGCCUCCAGUGACCUCAACAGCAACAACGCCAGCUAGCUGGUACAGGUCUGCAUAAGUAAUCUUCGGAUGUUUAGACUUCACUUCCUCACAAAAAUCAAUAGCUUUUUUCAGUCCAUUAUUAGAACCAUGAGAAAACUCCUCCUCGUUCCUAAUCGAUCCAUUAGGCCCACCAGUUUUUGUAGUCACAUCGUAUGUGCCAGCGUCAUGCCAAGCUAAACGAAGCAUGAUGGGAGCGCAGUUCCGAUUGGCAAUGAGAGCGCGGAGGUCACGGCGAGCCUUGUCGAUCUCUUUGAGGUACUCUGUGUCUACGACGGAUAACGCCAUGGGAGGAGGCUACAGAGCACCAAAACGGACGGCGUUUGAUUUGUAGAGAAGAGAGAUUACCUCGAAGUUAGCAAAAAUCUGCUCCCCCAAUUUGAUAACGC
rnacentral:misc_RNA from 1 species